rnacentral:rRNA from 1 species
AUUGACCUCGGGAUCAGGUAGGGAUACCCGCUGAACUUAAGCAUAUCAAUAAGCGGAGGAAAAGAAACCA